UGUUGCUGGUCACGUCUCUCCUGCUGGCCACUCACCCCUAGACUCACUGUGAG
rnacentral:sRNA from 1 species